rnacentral:snoRNA from 1 species
UCCAGUUAUAGGCAACUGUCUAGGUUUCCUUGUACCUAGGGCAAGUGUUACACUACUGGGAGGAAGCAGCCAGUAGCUGGCAGGCAUUCUGGGCUUGGUUAAUGCUAAAUUUAGUGUUAACUAUACCAGUGUGCCAGCAUA